GAUGAACGCUGGUGGCGUGCCUAAUACAUGCAAGUCGAGCGAACAGACGAGGAGCUUGCUCCUCUGACGUUAGCGGCGGACGGGUGAGUAACACGUGGAUAACCUACCUAUAAGACUGGGAUAACUUCGGGAAACCGGAGCUAAUACCGGAUAAUAUAUUGAACCGCAUGGUUCAAUAGUGAAAGACGGUUUUGCUGUCACUUAUAGAUGGAUCCGCGCCGCAUUAGCUAGUCGGUAAGGUAACGGCUUACCAAGGCAACGAUGCGUAGCCGACCUGAGAGGGUGAUCGGCCACACUGGAACUGAGACACGGUCCAGACUCCUACGGGAGGCAGCAGUAGGGAAUCUUCCGCAAUGGGCGAAAGCCUGACGGAGCAACGCCGCGUGAGUGAUGAAGGUCUUCGGAUCGUAAAACUCUGUUAUUAGGGAAGAACAAAUGUGUAAGUAACUAUGCACGUCUUGACGGUACCUAAUCAGAAAGCCACGGCUAACUACGUG
rnacentral:rRNA from 1 species